UGGCACUGUCGUCCGAUUAGAACUAAGCCAUGCAAGUGCAAGUGUAAGCAUUAACACUGUGGAACUGCGGACGGCCCAUUACAAGGGUUUGAAUGUACGUGAAGGAUAAAGUUAAAAGGAUAUCUUUCGGAAACGAAAGCUAAUACUUGCUAGAAGGGCGGAUGGUUUCCUGAAGCCCGCGUUUGUCAGACCUAACCAACAUGUUUGGUGAGUCAUGACAACCUGACGGACCGCAGGCUCAGCCAGCGGUGCUUCACAUCACAUUCCCAUCUAUCAGCUUGCAGGCAGGAUAGGGCCCUGUCUGGGCGUUGACGGGUAACGGAGAAUUAGGGUUCGAUUCCGGAGAGGUCGCCUGAGACACGGCGCCCGUGUAUACGUAUAACAGCAGGCGUGUAAAUUAUUCCUUCCAAAUUCUGGGAGAUAGCGCGUCGAUUGCCAAGGCGAGACCUUCGGGUCUUGCACUUGGACUGGACUUUAUGUAAAGACCAUUGUGAAUCCACAAGG
rnacentral:rRNA from 1 species